rnacentral:lncRNA from 1 species
CUAGAUGAAUUGAAUAUCUAUACUCGUGAGCCUCAUUCAAAAUCCUUUCUCAUAGUCCAUCAACAUUAGCAACACAUAACCUACCUAGAUAUCUUAACAUACUAUCUCUCCUAUUAUCGAAUUCCAUAACCUUUUGUCGACCCACAUAAUGCUUAAUAUGCAUAUGUAUGGGAUCCAAAGUCUGUUUCUCCUUCACCUUAGAACCAAGAAAUACUUUAACCACUUCUUAAGAAAAAACUCCCCUAUCCUUAGAGUCUGAAGGACGAACUCCCAAGUUAGCC